ACAACCUAAUUGCUAGGGCUUUAGGUUUUACGUACCAAAGGAUGUUCCUAGGAAACAACUUUAUGCAGCGGAAGAAGAAGAUGCAGUUCUUCAUGCGGCGCAGAUCUUGAGGUUUCCAGGGACCCUCGCAUAGCCUACUCAGCCAACUAGACGGUAGAAUUUGUUAUGAAUCCCAUUAAAGUGGCUGGGCUUGAUGUCCAACUUAGUUGAGUAAAGGUUGUUUAGUGGCCCAUGGACCUAGUUAAUGUUAGUUAGAAUGGGCCAAGGCCUUUGUUAGCUGUUGCUGAAUUUCCAUUAUAUAUAGAGAAAAAGGGAUCAUUGUUUGGAGAUUCUGGAAGAUUAUUGCUGAAACACUUUCUGGUUUUUCUUGGAUGAAUUGGGGACCUCGAAUACCCAAGGCGUAGCUAUUAUCAUCAUUUUUUUUAUUGUUCAUGUCUUGCAUGAUUGUUACAUUCAUCUAGUAUUAUCUCUCCUUUGUUCUUGAUUUCCUUUAUCUUCUAUAUUAAUAUUUCCUUCACUGGAGGGUUCAUUACAAAUGGGCAGAACCACAAGAAAGGGAUAUUGAAGAUUUAUUUGACGAUAACUGCGAUGCUGAUGAAAUUCCUACUAUCAAACUCGGGUUUGACAGGAUAUCGCCUUAUUUACAGAAUCCGGAUGAGAACCAACUGGUGAUGCUUCGCAACCAUAAUUUUUCAAGAGCUUUUUGCUUUGCCUGCAGAAGCUGCUUCCAUCCCCAUGCCUAAAUUGAAGAAUGUUGGCCGCUUAAGGACAGAGACAUGUACAUUAAUUGAAAGAUCCAACUUUCAGAAAUCAAGAGACAUGUGUAACUCCAAGUCUGGAGACUUUGCAACGAGGAGGCAUGCUUUUGUUGCAAUAGUAUUAGAGAACAGAACUCCAACACAAUUCGAGGAACAAUUUUGAUACCCAGUCGUACGGCAAUGAAGGGGAGUUCCCUCUCAAUGGAACAUACAUUCAAGUUAAUGAGGUAUUUGCUGAUGAUGAAACUAGCCAAAACCCAAUCCAUGUUCCUAGAGAAUGGAUUUGGCAUUUAGAACGGCGAACUGCAUACUUUGCAUCUUCAGCAACUGCAGUAUUUAGAGGUUUAUCAGUGGAUGCAAUUCGGAGCUGCUUUUAAGGAAGGGUUUAUUUGUGUGAGAGGAUUUGACAGAAGAACAGGAGUUCCAAGACCCCUGGGCAAAAAGACAAGAAUGGAAGAUGAGUAGAAGAUGACACAGAAAACUCAGCUAAAAAAGUAUUCCUUAAUGUGUUUUGCAAUUUUGAUAUGGUUUGACAUGAGGCAAACAACUAGGUGGAUACAUAUCGAGAGCUUCUUUGACACGAUCUUAUUGUAGUUAUCACUUGUAUUUAACAGAAACAGAACAGUUGCAUUAGAAACAUCCAGUGAUCCACACAGAGAGCGCCGGAAAUAUUGUUGUACUGAUUCGUAAAGAAAUUAAAAUUAUUCUGAUCAAAUGAAGAUGUUUCUCGAAAAGUCAUCCAUCCAAUGAAA